UUGAACGCUGGCGGCAGGCCUAACACAUGCAAGUCGAACGGUAACAGGAAGCAGCUUGCUGCUUCGCUGACGAGUGGCGGACGGGUGAGUAAUGUCUGGGAAGCUGCCUGAUGGAGGGGGAUAACUACUGGAAACGGUAGCUAAUACCGCAUAAUGUCGCAAGACCAAAGAGGGGGACCUUCGGGCCUCUUGCCAUCGGAUGUGCCCAGAUGGGAUUAGCUUGUUGGUGGGGUAACGGCUCACCAAGGCGACGAUCCCUAGCUGGUCUGAGAGGAUGACCAGCCACACUGGAACUGAGACACGGUCCAGACUCCUACGGGAGGCAGCAGUGGGGAAUAUUGCACAAUGGGCGCAAGCCUGAUGCAGCCAUGCCGCGUGUAUGAAGAAGGCCUUCGGGUUGUAAAGUACUUUCAGCGGGGAGGAAGGGAGUAAAGUUAAUACCCUUGCUCAUUGACGUUACCCGCAGAAGAAGCACCGGCUAACUCCGUG
rnacentral:rRNA from 1 species